rnacentral:snRNA from 1 species
GUGCUCACUUCAGCAGCACAUAUACUAAAAUUAGAACGAUGCAGAGAUUAGCAUGACCCCUGUGCAAGGAUGACAUGCAAAUUCAUGAAGCAUUCCAUAUUUUU